UCAGACUGAAAUCUGACAACUUGUCUAGGAUAGCAGUUGGAACUAUACUAUUCACCAACAGGUAUAUGGGGAGGGUUAACCUGAGUGCGCUAUGUUGUCUUAGACUGACUGAUUAUCAUAGUUUUGGACUUAUGAAGAUUUCAAAGAGCUGACAAUUCACAUGGUUACCUUAGACUGACUGAUUAUCGUAGUUUUGGACUUAUGAAGAUUUCAAAGAGCUGACAAGUGAUUCACAUGGUUAGAAUGAGUUUUUCAAGUUCCCGGCAGCAGGAAUACUGUAUUUAUUUCCUUAUCGAAAAGAUUGAGUUCACC
rnacentral:lncRNA from 1 species